rnacentral:rRNA from 1 species
CAAUAGCGUAUAUUAAAGUUGUUGCAGUUAAAAAGCUCGUAGUUGGAUUUGUGGCGUACGGUGGGUUCCGGGCACUUGUUGUCUGAGUAACUUGCUGUUGCCAUCCUUGGGUGGAACCUGUGUGGCAUUAGGUUGUCGUGCAGGGGAUGCCCAUCAUUUACUGUGAAAAAAUUAGAGUGUUCAAAGCAGGCUUAUGCCGUUGAAUAUAUUAGCAUGGAAUAAUGAGAUAGGACUUUUUUGCUAUUUUGUUGGUUUGCGCAAAGAGGUAAUGAUUAAUAGGGACAGUUGGGGGUAUUCGUAUUCCAUUGUCAGAGGUGAAAUUCUUGGAUUUUUGGAAGACGAACUACCGCGAAAGCAUUUACCAAGGAUGUUUUCAUUAA